ACAGCAGUCGCCACGGUAAUACGGAGGAUCCGAGCGUUAUCCGGAAUUAUUGGGUUUAAAGGGUGCGUAGGCGGAUAGAUAAGUCAGUGGUGAAAGACGGUGGCUCAACCAUCGCAGUGCCGUUGAUACUGUUUAUCUUGAAUAUGGAUGAGGUAGGCGGAAUGUGGCAAGUAGCGGUGAAAUGCAUAGAUAUGCCACAGAACACCGAUUGCGAAGGCAGCUUACCAAGGCAAAAUUGACGCUGAGGCACGAAAGCGUGGGGAUCGAACAGGAUUAGAGACCCCUGUAGUCCCUGUCUCUUAUAC
rnacentral:rRNA from 1 species